rnacentral:rRNA from 1 species
UACGUAGGGUGCGAGCGUUGUCCGGAAUUAUUGGGCGUAAAGAGCUCGUAGGCGGUGUGUCACGUCGUUCGUGAAAACCUGCAGCUUAACUGUGGCGUGCGGUCGAUACGGGCAUCACUGGAGUUCGGCAGGGGAGACUGGAAUUCCUGGUGUAGCGGUGAAAUGCGCAGAUAUCAGGAGGAACACCGGUGGCGAAGGCAGGUCUCUGGGCCGAUACUGACGCUGAGGUGCGAAAGCGUGGGGAGCAAACAGG